rnacentral:lncRNA from 1 species
UCAAGGGAAUCAUCUACAUCAAGCAGCAGUUGUUAAUGUAGAAAUGAAGGAAUAAGAGUUUAUGGUACCAUGAAUCACCAGGAAAAAUGCAUAAAGGUAAAAUAUGAGCAAAGCAAGAUACCGUACAUUGUGCAUCUCAUCGGCAAUUUGUUGAACUAAGGAUACAAGAAAAACAUGAUACAACUGGUGUUGCAUCAAAGAAAACAGAAAUGCAUGCAUGACUGCUCCUACUGUAGUUAGAGAUCAUUCUUACAAAUGCUCUUCCCUGAAGAAUUUUCCUUGGCUUCAGAAUUGUUGGGUAUGUUCGGCAAACCAUGGUAAUCCUGAUUGAGGACACUGCUUUGAAUCAAAUAGGAACAAUUGGUCCAAGGAAAAUGCGCCACAAGUCCAGUAAAAUUGUAACAAGCAUUGCAGCCCCCAAGGCAUCAAUGGCCACUCUGGGUAGGUCCC